CACAUUGAAAUUGUUAAAAUGUAUGUUUCAUCAACUCCAACAUUUUUCAUAAUUUCGAUGUUUCAACCUAUGAAACCCAAACUUUCAGACCUUGAGGGCUUUUGGUAUGAAUUGUUAUACCGCAUCGAUCCUCUCAGCUCAAGAACCCGAUACUUCAAUUUUGAGGACUCAAUAUGAAGAAAAAAAUUUGAAAAAUAUAAAGUACUCAAAAUUUUCACUUCAUAAAACCAUCAAACAAGUUGAAAAUGUUCAUCGAUACGAAAUGGGUAAAUUUUGUUGUGUGGAAUGUGGUAGGACCUAUAAGCACAAAGCAUCCUUGAGUAAGCACUCCAAGUAUGAAUGUGGAAAAGAACCUCAAAUCAAAUGUUAUCAAUGUUCAUACGCUUGUAAAGUUCCUGGAAAUAUGA